rnacentral:rRNA from 1 species
GACGAAGGGGGCUAGCGUUGUCCGGAAUCAUUGGGCGUAAAGAGCGCGUAGGCGGCUAGAUAAGUCCGGUGUGAAAGUCACAGGCUCAACCUGUGAAUGCCGCUGGAAACUGUCUGGCUAGAGUCCGGAAGGGGCGAGUGGAAUUCCUGGUGUAGCGGUGAAAUGCGCAGAUAUCAGGAGGAACACCAAUGGCGAAGGCAGCUCGCUGGGACGUUACUGACGCUGAGACGCGAAAGCGUGGGGAGCAAACAGG